rnacentral:rRNA from 1 species
GAAUAUUGGACAAUGGGCGCAAGCCUGAUCCAGCCAUGCCGCGUGUGAGAAGAAGGCCUUUUGGUUGUAAAGCACUCUAAGCGUGGAGGAGGCUACUUGGAUUAAUACGCCAGGAUAGCAGACGUUACUCGCAGAAUAGUCACCGGCGAACUCAGUGCCAGCAGCCGCGGUAAGACAGAGGGUGCGAGCGUUAGUCGGAUUUACUGGGCGUAAAGCGUGCGUAGGCGGCUUUUUAAGUCGGAUGUGAAAUCCCUGAGCUUAACUUAGGAAUUGCAUUCGAUACUGGGAAGCUAGAGUAUGGGAGAGGAUGGUAGAAUUCCAGGUGUAGCGGUGAAAUGCGUAGAGAUCUGGAGGAAUACCGAUGGCGAAGGCAGCCAUCUGGCCUAAUACUGACGCUGAGGUACGAAAGCAUGGGGAGCA